rnacentral:rRNA from 1 species
UAGGGAAUCUUCGGCAAUGGACGAAAGUCUGACCGAGCAACGCCGCGUGAGUGAAGAAGGUUUUCGGAUCGUAAAACUCUGUUGUUAGAGAAGAACAAGGACGUUAGUAACUGAACGUCCCCUGACGGUAUCUAACCAGAAAGCCACGGCUAACUACGUGCCAGCAGCCGCGGUAAUACGUAGGUGGCAAGCGUUGUCCGGAUUUAUUGGGCGUAAAGCGAGCGCAGGCGGUUUCUUAAGUCUGAUGUGAAAGCCCCCGGCUCAACCGGGGAGGGUCAUUGGAAACUGGGAGACUUGAGUGCAGAAGAGGAGAGGGGAAUUCCAUGUGUAGCGGUGAAAUGCGUAGAUAUAUGGAGGAACACCAGUGGCGAAGGCGGCUCUCUGGUCUGUAACUGACGCUGGGGCUCGAAAGCGUGGGGAGCAAACAGG